GAAGAUUAAUAAAGAACAAGUACGUUUUCUGCGAUGAAAUAAAAGAACAAGUACGUUUUUUGCGAUGAAUAAAGAACUAGUGUGUGUUGCUGGUUAGCUAGCUAAUGCAUUUAUAUAGUAACCUCAACCCGACUGUUUAAUUCACUCCUGAAUCAAUCGCAUGAUCAACCUAUCUCUUUCAAUUUUGGUGAGCCUUGCCUUCGGCGUGGAUGCUUUCCAUCUCAUGUCUCAACUACUCAACUCAUGUAAAUCUGCUGAGUGUGACAGCGCCAUUCACUCUUUCUCCCUUUUUGCCUACCUGUUCCUUUCUCUCUUCCUGCUUGGAGCGAAACAGCAGCAGCCUCUGUUUUUUCCGUUUCUUCUCUUCUACCGUGACUACCACCGGUGGAGCAAGAUUCUGAACAGAUCACAAAUAAGACAGUUGUUGCCCAAGGCUGGGUGAUUGAAGCAGAGGAUAUAUACGGUUCGUAUUUGUUUUUGUGCCUGUGAGGCAUAAGCUCCUCCACUGGUUGCUGCUUCGGAUUGUGAGAGAGAAUAAUUACUCUGCUUUGGGUGGUUUAGGGUUUAGAGUCAUCUCUCAAGGAAUGAGCUUUUCCUCUGUAAAGGGUCUGAUUCUCAAUUUCUAACAAUGUAAAUAAUUUGAAUAUGUAUGUAUUUUUGAAUGAACCCUGCAUUACAUGUAAGCAACCUUCAUUGCUAUUUCAGUGGAAUGAAGUCAUAAUUUAAUUUUUA